UGUGUGUUGAACCUUCCAGGGAAAAAUGGCACAGUGGGUCCUGUUCCUGAUGAGAGAAAGUAUGAGGAGU
rnacentral:lncRNA from 12 species